AAGAAAGUAAAUAAGGGCGCAUGGCGGAUGCCUUGGCUCUCGGAGGCGAUGAAGGACGUGAUAAGCUGCGAUAAGCUUCGGGUAGGUGCAAAUAACCUUUGAUCCGAAGAUUUCCGAAUGGGACAACCCGGCAUUCUGAAGGAAUGUCAUCCAACCAAGUUGGAGGCUAACGCAGGGAACUGAAACAUCUUAGUACCUGCAGGAAAAGAAAAUAAAUAAUGAUUCCCCUAGUAGUGGCGAGCGAACGGGGAAUAGCCCAAACCACCCGUGUUACGGCAUGUGUGGGGUUGUAGGACCACGCUCUCGCAAGAAAGUUAUUGAGAAGAAGCGACUGGAAAGUCGCGCCAUAGACGGUGAUAGCCCGGUAUUCUAAGGUAACUGAAGCGUAGUGGUAUCCUGAGUAGCGCGGAGCACGAGGAAUUCUGCGUGAACCA
rnacentral:rRNA from 1 species